rnacentral:rRNA from 1 species
UACGUAGGGGGCAAGCGUUAUCCGGAUUUACUGGGUGUAAAGGGAGCGUAGACGGCAGGGCAAGUCUGGAGUGAAAGGCAGGGGCCCAACCCCUGGACUGCUCUGGAAACUGUCCGACUGGAGUGCAGGAGAGGUAAGUGGAAUUCCUAGUGUAGCGGUGAAAUGCGUAGAUAUUAGGAGGAACACCAGUGGCGAAGGCGGCUUACUGGACUGUAACUGACGUUGAGGCUCGAAAGCGUGGGGAGCAAACAGG